ACACCGCCUGGGGAGUACGGCCGCAAGGUUAAAACUCAAAGAAAUUGACGGGGGCCCGCACAAGCGGAGGAGCAUGUGGCUUAAUUCGAUGCAACGCGAAGAACCUUACCAGGGUUUGACAUGCAGCUGCACGCCUCCUGAAAGGGAGGAAGCUUUCGAAGGUGCUGCACAGGUGCUGCAUGGCUGUCGUCAGUUCGUGCCGUGAGGUGUUUGGUUAAGUCCAGCAACGAACGCAACCCCUAUGUUUAGUUGCCACCGGUGGUGAUGAGCCACCGAGCACUCUAGACAGACUGCCCGUACAAGCGGGAGGAAGGUGGGGACGACGUCAAGUCAGUAUGGCCCUUACACCCUGGGCUGCACACGUGCUACAAUGGUCGGUACAGUGGGAAGCAAUACCGCGAGGUGGAGCAAAUCCUCAAAACCGGCCCCAGUUCGGAUUGGAGUCUGAAAUUCGACUCCAUGAAGUUGGAUUCGCUAGUAAUGCCGUAUCAGCUACGACGGCGUGAAUACGUUCCCGGGCCUUGUACACACCGCCCGUCACAUCAUGAAAGCCGUCUGCACCCGAAGUCG
rnacentral:rRNA from 1 species